UGGCUACAUCACGUUGAAGCACCGGUUCCCGUACGAUCACCGAAGUUAAGCAACGUCGAGAUUAUUCAAUACAUAGAUGGGUGACCACAUGUGAAUAGUAGAUGCUGAA